CUCUCUCUCUCUGCCCCUCUCCCACUCAUGUUCGCUCUCUCUCUGUCUCUCUCAAAAUAAAUAACUAAACAUUUAAAAAAAGAACGUGGGAUGAAGUCACAUUGCUUCUCUUCCAAUAGUGGGUCGGCCAAUUAGCAACUUGCCUUUCGAAGUCAUUUACCUUUUUACUUUUUAAGCUUCUUACCCUCGUUGUAAAACUGUGGGGGUGGGGACAACACAGUACCCGCAUCAUAAGGUGUUAUGGAGGUGACAUGGUAAUAAAGGUGUUUGUGUGGUGCUCAUUGCUCAUAAUGUUCCCUAAACAUUAGCUGCUUUGCUCUUAUAUUUGUUAUUCGGGACCUCUAGGCACUAAAAGUCAUAAAUACAAGCAUGACCAAGUAAGACCAGGCACUUUUUUACCCUUCCUAAAGGCUGAGCUACGUGUUCACAUUAACAGGAAACUCCAGCAAUGAUGGCCCCGCCUUGGCUGCGUGUGUAAGGUUUCUCAGGGGUGUCAAUGUGUUGGGGGAGAGGAUUCAGGCUGGAGGGGGUAGAGGAAGCAGUAAAGAGAGAUAUCCAACGUU